GUUAUAAUGUUUACUGCCAUUUUUUUAUUUUCUUUUUAAAUUUUCCAGCCAUUAAUAAUUUCUCUCUAAUUUACAGCUCCACCUCUCCCCACCAUAAUUUAAUUAAUUAAGCUUUAAAUAAAAACCAUCCUUUUUCUCCCUUUAUAUAUUUUGCCCUUUCUUCUUCAAAUUCCAAUGCACUCAUCCAAGCCUUCUCCAUCUUUCUUGAAGAACAAAGUGUUCAAGGUUCCUUCAAAGGUUAAGUUAAUUUAUAUUAAAGAUCAUGAGUGGAAGAAGAAAUGGUCCCAAGCUUGAGUUGAAGUUGAACCUAUCACCACCAAGGCGUAAUCCAAGAAUGGAACCAUCACCAAGCCGGUCGGCUACUGUGUCGCCGACAUCCCCGCUGAGCUCGUGCGUGUCAUCGGAGAUGAAUCAUGACGUUGACAUGAUGAUGAUGAGCAGCCCUGAAACCACAACAACAGCAACCUCAAUGGUUCUGGUCGGAUGUCCAAGGUGUUUGAUGUACGUGAUGCUUUCAGAAGAGGAACCUAAAUGUCCCAAAUGCAAGAGCACUGUUUUGCUUGAUUUUCUUCAUGAUACUGCUACCACCACCAAGGCAAGGAAGAGCUAAAACCAUAUAAUUAGCAUAUAAAUCUAAUCAUAAAUUUAAUGUUGGUAGCAUAGGUUUUUUAAGUUGACAAAUGAAAUUAAAAAAUUAAUGUCUCCUCGAAUAAGAGUUUUAUCUUUUGCACUCUGCCGAAGAUGAAUGUAGUGUUAAGUGGUAGCAUGAUGAAUCCAAUUCAUUAGAACUACUAGCACCUCGGUUGAUGGACCUCAGUGUAUUUCAAUAUUUUUAGUUUUUUUUUUUUUUUAUAA